AUGAACGCUGGCUGCGUGCCUAAUACAUGCCAGUCGAGCGAACAGAUAAGGAGCUUGCUCCUUUGACGUUAGCGGCGGACGGGUGAGUAACACGUGGGUAACCUACCUAUAAGACUGGAAUAACUCCGGGAAACCGGGGCUAAUGCCGGAUAACAUUUAGAACCGCAUGGUUCUAAAGUGAAAGAUGGUUUUGCUAUCACUUAUAGAUGGACCCGCGCCGUAUUAGCUAGUUGGUAAGGUAACGGCUUACCAAGGCAACGAUACGUAGCCGACCUGAGAGGGUGAUCGGCCACACUGGAACUGAGACACGGUCCAGACUCCUACGGGAGGCAGCAGUAGGGAAUCUUCCGCAAUGGGCGAAAGCCUGACGGAGCAACGCCGCGUGAGUGAUGAAGGUCUUCGGAUCGUAAAACUCUGUUAUUAGGGAAGAACAAAUGUGUAAGUAACUGUGCACGUCUUGACGGUACCUAAUCAGAAAGCCACGGCUAACUACGUG
rnacentral:rRNA from 1 species